rnacentral:lncRNA from 1 species
GUAUUUCUUUUGCGAACACAAUAGAACCAUUAUCCUCUGAAAAGCAUGUUUUCAGAGGUGAAAGCGUGGUUCUUUCUUGUAAGUACAGUGGCAACGUAAAUAAUCUGCAGUGGUAUCGUCAAUAUCCUGGAUCUCGACCAGAGCACCUCAUUCUCAUCACAGAAUAUUCAGAACCUGAUCUUUCACGUCGUCUGUCAGCAAAAGCUACAAAAGACCUAAAACAAGUGAAUCUUACAAUCUCCUCUGCUGAAGAGACAGAUUCUGCUCUGUACUACUGUGCCCUGGUGCCCACAGUGACAGGAAACCUGAAAACACUGUACAAAAACCUUACAAUCUUACCUGUACAUAAACCUAAAAAAUAAAUCUGAAUCCUCAGCAAUGAAAGCUUGAUGUUGCAUGAAAUAAAAUACUGAAUAACAUUUUACAAGUGCAAACAUUUGUCCAAUGUCUUUCAAUCAAACAGCAGCAACAAACUGAACAAAGCAGAGUAUCAUCUUCACAUCGAAGAAACAGUGAUAUACAGCUGGGGUCUGAGACCACUACUAAAAAAAGCUAUUUUUCAUAUUUGUUUAACUUGUUUUUUUUUUUUUUUUUUUCAUUACAUACAUAUUUAUUCAUUCCACCUAACUGUAUCAUGAAGCUGAAAAGUUUGAAACAGUCAUUCAAGUUUGACCCACAAGAGGGUGCUCUUCUGAGCUGAGAAGCUGCUUCACUGUACUACAGUACUAAACUCUUAUAAAGAUCUUAUAUAUAGUCACCGAAGAUACCUGUAUUCCUGAUAAGCUAAAUCUUUCAUUAAAGAAAAAGUAAUUAUGAAAGUAUGAAUAUAACAUACUGUAGUAGCCUCAACACAAAGAUGUCUGUUGUUGCCCACAGGGUGGAGCUCUGCAGUCUGAUGCUCAAGCUCAGACUAAAUGUGACUGACAACAAGGUUGAGUUUGACACUUCAAGCUUUCUGUCUACUGAACAGUGACCAUGUUUACUGUUGUCUUUAUUGUAUUUCCACUGCUCACUGAAAGUGCUGGUGCAUAUACAAUAGAAUCUCUCUCACCAGAAAAGCAUGUUUUAGUUGGACAAAAUGCUGUUAUCUCUUGCAAAUACAGUGGCAUUGGGCCAAGCUUUAAGUGGUAUCGCCAAUAUCCAAGAUCCAGACCAGAGUACCUUACUUAUAGCACAGAGACUGUGUUUUCAUCCGAACCUACUUUACGUCUCAAAGCAGUGGCUAAAAAAGCAAUCACAGAAGUGGAACUGGAGAUCUCCUCUGCUGAAGUCAAAGACUCUGCUGUGUAUUACUGUGCCCUGGUGCCCACAGUGACAGGAAACCCACUUGCACUGUACAAAAACUCUGAUUUCAGUGGAAUCAUUUUGUAUUGUGAUGUAACAAGUUUAUUUUUUUCUUCAAAAUUGCAAAUAAACUAA